CUCGUAGGCGGUUCGGUAAGUCGGGUGUGAAAACUCUGGGCUCAACCCAGAGAGGCCACUCGAUACUGCUGUGACUAGAGUGCGGUAGGGGAGCGGGGAAUUCAUGGUGUAGCGGUGAAAUGCGCAGAUAUCAUGAGGAACACCAGUGGCGAAGGCGCCGCUCUGGGCCGUAACUGACGCUGAGGAGCGAAAGCAUGGGUAGCAAACA
rnacentral:rRNA from 1 species